GCGGGCGUGGCGGAAUUGGCAGACGCGCUGGAUUUAGGUUCCAGUGGAGAAAUCCGUGGGGGUUCAAGUCCCUCCGCCCGCACCA
rnacentral:tRNA from 1 species